GGGGAAUUUUCCGCAAUGGGCGAAAGCCUGACGGAGCAAUACCGCGUGAGGGAAGAAGGCUCUUGGGUCGUAAACCUCUUUUCUCAGGGAAGAACAAAAUGACGGUACCUGAGGAAUAAGCAUCGGCUAACUCCGUGCCAGCAGCCGCGGUAAUACGGAGGAUGCAAGCGUUAUCCGGAAUGAUUGGGCGUAAAGCGUCCGUAGGUGGUUAGGCAAGUCUGCUGUCAAAGCUCGGGGCUUAACUCCGAAUCGGCGGUGGAAACUGCCUGACUUGAGUGCGGUAGGGGUAGAGGGAAUUCCCGGUGUAGCGGUGAAAUGCGUAGAUAUCGGGAAGAACACCGGCGGCGAAGGCGCUCUACUGGGCCGUAACUGACACUGAGGGACGAAAGCUAGGGGAGCGAAAGGGAUUAGAUACCC
rnacentral:rRNA from 1 species